rnacentral:rRNA from 1 species
ACGGCUCAGUAACACGUGGACAACCUGCCUUUAGGUUGGGUAUAAACCCGGGAAACUGGGUAUAAUACCCGAUAGGUCUCGAUUGCUGGAAUGCAUCGAGAUUUAAAGCUCCGGCGCCUAAGGAUGGGUCUGCGGCCUAUCAGGUAGUAGUGGGUGUAGCGUACCUACUAGCCUACGACGGGUACGGGUUGUGAGAGCAAGAGCCCGGAGAUGGAUUCUGAGACACGAAUCCAGGCCCUACGGGGUGCAGCAGGCGCGAAAACUUUACAAUGCUGGCAACAGCGAUAAGGGAACCUCGAGUGCCAGGUUACAAAUCUGGCUGUCGAGAUGCCUAAAAAGCAUUUCAUAGCAAGGGCCGGGCAAGACCGGUGCCAGCCGCCGCGGUAACACCGGCGGCUCGAGUGGUAACCGUUAUUAUUGGGUCUAAAGGGUCUGUAGCCGGCCGGAUAAGUCUCUUGAGAAAUCUGGCAGCUUAACUGUCAGGCUUUCAGGAGAUACUGUCUGGCUCGAGGCCGGGAGAGGUGAGAGGUACUUCAGGGGUAGGGGUGAAAUCUUGUAAUCCUUGAAGGACCACCAGUGGCGAAGGCGUCUCACCAGAACGGACCUGACGGCAAGGGACGAAAGCUAGGGGCACGAACCGGAUUAGAUACCCGGGUAGUCCUAGCCGUAAACGAUACUCGCUAGGUGUCGGCCACGGUGCGACCGUUGUCGGUGCCGUAGGGAAGCCGUGAAGCGAGCCACCUGUGAUGUACGGCCGCAAGGCUGAUACUUAAAGGAAUUGGCGGGGGAGCAC